ACUCAUUGUUGUCAUUUUUAACCCCAGUGAUUCCUUUCUUCUUUGGAACUACUUGAACCAGACUUACCCAUUUACUAUUGGAUAUUCGAAAGAUAACUCCCAUGUCUAAAAGCUUAAGAACUUAUGCUCGGACAACUUCCUUCAUAAGUGGGUUGAGUCUCGUUUGUGCCUCAAUGAUAGGCUUGCUGCCUUUUUAAGAAGAAUUCGAUGCAUACAUAAGGUUGGGCUAAUGCCUUUGAUGUCAGUUAUAGUCCAUCCCAAUGUUGUAAAGUAAUUUUUCUCUUUGAGAGAAGUUAACUUGGUUGCAAUAAUCAAUGGAAAUGACUCAAAAGCACCUAAAAAUGCAUACCUCAUAUGGGUAGGCAAUUGUUUCAAGUCUACCUUCGGUGCAACUUUAACAGAUGGAUAAAU
rnacentral:lncRNA from 1 species